AUGCCAUCAUCAAGGCACUACCAUUCUGGUAGAAUUUACUCACCAACUGGUUCAUCUGAUCAGUGGACUGGCACAUCAGGGCAAUGGUUUUCAAGAGAUGUGAACGUCCAGAUAUACGCUCUGAGUAGUGGGCCGGAAGAUGCCACAUCAUUCCCAAUACUAUGCUGUCUCUAACACAACUGAAAUGGGGUGCACCACAGAGCAGAUCACUCAUAAUGGGCCACUUACUGAACACUUGUCACCUGGACACAAAUGAGAAAUGAGAAGACGGAGGAGAUUUUGCCCUUCUUCACCCAUGAAGGAUCCUAAUGAUGCCCACAUUCCAGCCAAGAAAGAAGAUCACCAAAUUAUCAGAAAAAUCUUCUCUGGAUUCUUCUGAAGAGCUAAGUGAACACCGCAGUGGAUUUCAGCCACCGUCCCACACCUACAAGAUGUCAAAAGCGCCAAAUCCCAGAGCCUAAUGGGACCUCUGCAGUAGCCAACAUCCCAUAUGCAUAAAAGAACCUUAUAUAGUAGUAUCUCCCCAGCAAAGGGACUGUUCUUGGAAGCCAAACCAUGCUGCUUCUAGAUCCGUAUCCAUUAUCAGCAGUAGAGGAGACAGAGACAGUGCUAGGAGGAGGAAGGACUUAGAGAAAAAGGAGGAGAGCAAUAGAGAAAGGCAUCUGAGUUCCUGUUUAUACCAGUUAUCAGUGAACUUAAUAUACCAAUGAAUUUAAAAUGCACUCGGGGGAAGUUUCCCAUAAAUAGGUUAACUGCAAAAAUAUUCCCACAAGUAGUCAGACUGCCUCCUCUGAGGACAGUGCCUUCAGAAACACUCUUUUUCUGACUAACUUUAGAAACUCUAAAUGCCAGCAACUCUAGCCUGCGGGUCUUCCCCAAGGCCUUCUUACUCUCUUUAGCAUCCUUGAUAAAUAUUUAAAGAACGCUUUCUUAACCUUUCUCUUUGGCUUCUGCAUUCUUGAUACCUUAAUUCUGAAUUGAAAAAGAUCUCUGGUCUAGGACAAUCUUUCUGCCCGUGAGCGUUUGUAACAGAAAGCUCUCCAAGCUAUGCCCAUGGCUUUGCGUUUCCUGGGAAAGGAGGGAGAAAGGAAAAGCAAAUGUUUCAUUCAUCAGUGUCUAAAAGGCCCAACCUGAGCCUCUCAGGAUCUCUGCCUCUUCCAGGGCAAGUCUGCUUGGCCCCAGAGGGAUCUGUCUCCCUCCAACCAGAUGAGAUGCACGGAAUCUAUGGUCCACCAGACAGUACUUAAGGAUGCUGCCUUGCCCAACCUGUGAACAAGCCUCUCUCCAAAACUUUCCUCUCUUGAAUAAAAGUGUGUCAAUGAAUUGUGCAGCCACCAUUCAACUUGGGGCUCCUGAGGGACCAAGUGUCCAGUGAACACUUUGAGAUUUGGUUUGCUGAGAAAUGCCAGAUUCUAAGAAAAUGGGACUUUGGCAGGAUCCCAAGUCCUCAAUGGGCUAACAUAGCCACAGCCCAGUAAAUUUCUGGGAAAAAUUAAUGCAAUGGGACACUAAAGACAAAAAUGCACGCUG
ensembl:lncRNA